CUUCCAGACUCCUACGGGAGGCAGCAGUGGGGAAUAUUGCACAAUGGGGGAAACCCUGAUGCAGCGACGCCGCGUGAGUGAAGAAGUAAUUCGUUAUGUAAAGCUCUAUCAGCAGGGAAGAAAAUGACGGUACCUGAGUAAGAAGCCCCGGCUAACUACGUGCCAGCAGCCGCGGUAAUACGUAGGGGGCAAGCGUUAUCCGGAUUUACUGGGUGUAAAGGGAGCGUAGACGGCAGUGCAAGUCUGGAGUGAAAGGCGGGGGCUCAACCCCGGAACUGCUUUGGAAACUGUGCAGCUGGAGUGCAGGAGAGGUAAGCGGAAUUCCUAGUGUAGCGGUGAAAUGCGUAGAUAUUAGGAGGAACACCAGUGGCGAAGGCGGUCUGCUGGACAGCAACUGACGCUGAGGCGCGAAAGCGUGGGGAGCAAACAGGAUUAGAUACCCGCGUAA
rnacentral:rRNA from 1 species